GUAAGAACCUGUGAAUAUGUUUCCUUACAUUGCAAACUGUGAUUAAGGUUAGGGACCUUGAAGUGAGAAGAGUAACCUGAAUUACCCAGGUGAGCCCAAUUUAAUCACAUUAAUUCUUAAAAGUGGAAAAGUUUUUCCAGCUGUGGUCAGAGAGACUCAAGAUGGCAGGCAGAGGAUUCCACUUUGACCACGCCCAGUGGUUGCUGGUUCUGAGAUGCAGGGGGCUGUGUGCAAGGAACUGAAUUCUGCCAACAACCUGAAUGAACGAGGCAUUGGAUCCUUGUCUAGAGCCUUCAGAAAGGGACACAGCAGUGCCAUCACCUUGAUGUUGGCUGGGGAUAAAAUGCAUACUCCUGAGAAUAUAGUCACCUGGAUUCUGUCCACUUUUUUGUUUCCAUUCAGCCGUUCUUCACACACACUAUGGAAGCCAGUCUUGACAAGGCUCCAGAGAAACAAGAGGGACCCAACCAGCGACACUGCUUGCAAGAUAGCUACUUCAUCCCAGCUAAAAUCAGCUCUAACUGCAUUAAAGUGACCUGCCCUCAUUAACAUCUCAAAUUCUGCACAUGUGCACAUGCUACUACAUGCGCCUUAAGAGAACAUGACUACUGGGCAAUAAAGCCAAAUCUCCUGCCUUUCCCUUAACUGAAUAUUCACUAACCGUACUCUGAUAAAAGGACCCCUCAAACCCUUGCUCUGGGAGACACCACUUUGGAAAAUAUCCCUGGUAUUUUCUACUGCUUUUGCAGGUAAUAAACGUUUCUUCACCUACUUCUGCCUUGGUUGUGCUUUUCUUCUCUGCACUCACCAAGAGAUGAGCCCAGUGAGUUCGGUUACACAAGUUCAAAGGUAAAAGCUGAGUGAGAAAAUUUAAGUGAUUCACACAUGGACACACAGCUUAUGGUAGCAGAUCC
rnacentral:lncRNA from 1 species